GUUGGAUGGUUACGGAGAUCGGUUGGGAGACGUGUGUGGCGUUUGAUGAGCGUAUCGAAGGUGAUAGGGAAAGGAGGACGGCACUCGGAUGGUGGCGAGUGGAAUUGCGUGUGACGUCAUGUCCGUCAUCGUUAUGUUUUGAGAUGGGGCCUGCAAGCCGAUGCCUUCUUACACACUCUCUCAAAACAGUGCAGCCGUAUUGAGGAAGACCCCUUUCGUAGUGCAGAACAAUUCAAAACUUUUUGGAGGAAACGGUUCUCUUUGAUUCUUCAAAGAUGCAACGCAAAAGUAAUCCUCAAGAAGUUAUCAAGAGUUUCAGAAACAAACAAUGACAUGGACAAGCUUUUUGACUUUAAUGUACAGAUCGAAGUCCACUAAUGUUUUAAAGUAUUUCGCUGUGAAGGACUGGUUCAUCAUAGAAGUUUAGGAUGUGUACAAGUAGAGGAUCUCUAACAAUAAAAUAAUCUGUCUGUCUG